rnacentral:rRNA from 1 species
GACGAACGCUGGCGGCGUGCUUAACACAUGCAAGUCGAACGAUGAAGCUGGAGCUUGCUCCGGUGGAUUAGUGGCGAACGGGUGAGUAACACGUGAGCAAUCUGCCCUUGACUCUGGGAUAACUGCGGGAAACUGUAGCUAAUACCGGAUACGAGAUUUGGAGGCAUCUCCGGAUCAGGAAAGAAUUUCGGUCAAGGAUGAGCUCGCGGCCUAUCAGCUUGUUGGUGAGGUAAUGGCUCACCAAGGCGACGACGGGUAGCCGGCCUGAGAGGGUGACCGGCCACACUGGGACUGGGACACGGCCCAGACUCCUACAGGAGGCAGCAGUGGGGAAUAUUGCACAAUGGGCGAAAGCCUGAGUCAGCAACGCCGCGUGAGGGAUGAAGGCCUUCGGGUUGUAAACCUCUUUUAGUAGGGAAGAAGCGAAAGUGACGGUACCUACAGAAAAAGCACCGGCUAACUACGUGCCAGCCGCCGCAGUAA